CCUACGGGCGGCUGCAGUGGGGAAUAUUGGACAAUGGGGGCAACCCUGAUCCAGCCAUGCCGCGUGAAUGAUGAAGGCCUUCGGGUUGUAAAGUUCUUUUGGUAGGGACGAUGAUGACGGUACCUACAGAAUAAGCUCCGGCUAACUUCGUGCCAGCAGCCGCGGUAAUACGAAGGGAGCUAGCGUUGUUCGGAAUUACUGGGCGUAAAGAGCGCGUAGGCGGUUUAACAAGUCAGGCGUGAAAGCCCUGGGCUCAACCCGGGAAUUGCGCUUGAGACUGUUUUUCUUAGAGUACGAGAGAGGUAAGUGGAAUUCCCAGUGUAGCAGUGAAAUGCGUAGAUAUUGGGAGGAACACCAGUGGCGAAGGCGGCUUACUGGCUCGUGACUGACGCUAAGGCGCGAAAGCGUGGGGAGCAAACAGGAUUAGAUACCCCAGUAGUC
rnacentral:rRNA from 1 species